UAAAAACCCCGACUUCGGAAGGGGUGUAUUUAUUAGAUACAAAACCAAUGCCCUUCGGGGCUCUUUGGUGAUUCAUGAUAACUAUACGAAUCGCACGGCCUUGCGCCGGCGAUGGUUCAUUCAAAUUUCUUCCCUAUCAACUUUCGAUGUUUGGGUAUUGGCCAAACAUGGUUGCAACGGGUAACGGAGGGUUAGGGCUCGACCCCGGAGAAGGAGCCUGAGAAACGGCUGCUACAUCCAAGGAAGGCAGCAGGCGCGCAAAUUACCCAAUCCCGACUCGGGGAGGUAGUGACAAUAAAUACUGAUACAGGGCCCUUUCGGGCCUUGUAAUUGGAAUGAGUACAAUUUAAAUCCCAUAACGAGGAACAAUUGGAGGGCAAGUCUGGUGCCAGCAGCCGCGGUAAUUCCAGCUCCAAUAGCGUAUAUUAAAGUUGUUGUGGUUAAAAAGCUCGUAGUUGAACCUUGGGCCUGGCUGGCCGGUCCGCCUCACCGCGUGCACUGGUCCGGCCGGGCCUUUCCCUCUGUGGAACCCCAUACCCUUCACUGGGCGUGGCGGGGAAACAGGACAUUUACUUU
rnacentral:rRNA from 1 species